UACGUAGGGUGCAAGCGUUGUCCGGAAUUAUUGGGCGUAAAGAGCUCGUAGGCGGCUUGUCGCGUCUGCUGUGAAAACUGGAGGCUCAACCUCCAGCCUGCAGUGGGUACGGGCAAGCUAGAGUGCGGUAGGGGAGAUUGGAAUUCCUGGUGUAGCGGUGGAAUGCGCAGAUAUCAGGAGGAACACCGAUGGCGAAGGCAGAUCUCUGGGCCGUAACUGACGCUGAGGAGCGAAAGCAUGGGGAGCGAACAGG
rnacentral:rRNA from 1 species